UUGGAUCUUGUCUUGGAGCUGGAUCACUGCCAUUAAGUUAAAUAAAUUUAUCAGAAGAAGUAAGAUAUAGAAGUGAAGAAGAAUAUUUUAUGUAAUAUAAAAUUAUGUAUGUAUAUAAUAGGUGUAUAUCAGAAUUCAUUGUAUCUUGUAAUUUACGUGCAAUAUGUUUUCCAUAGGACAAGUUACAAUUAGUUUCAAUCAGUUAGGAGCAGGACUCCUUGUUGGUACUGCGCUAGCGAUUAUACCUGACUAUACCUGAGGGUGUAAGAGCAUUAUUUACCGUGGAUGGUAUUACUAAUGAAAAAGGCAAUUUACAUACUUUAACUUGGAAUUAGUUUAGUACUUGGUUUAUGCUUUUAAUCGAUCAAUGUUCAGCCAGAAAAAGUGGAGGAAGACAAGAAAAGUAUUACAGCAACUUUAGGUCUUAUAGUAGAUGCUGCGGAGUUGCGUUGGGAGCUGCUGCUACUACAUCUCAAGCUGAUGUCGAAGUGUCUUAGUUUUUCUUCGCAAUAAUGUUGCACAAAGCGCCAGAUGCAUUUGGACUUGUGUCAGUUUCUUCUUCAUGAAGGUGUAGAUAGAAAGUAAGAAAAUAAGCAGACACUUAUUAAUUUUCUCUCUUGCGGCACCGUGUCUUGUGACAUACACUUGUGACAUAUUUUGGAAUUGGAAAAAGUAUAUGGAAUGUAUCGCAAGAUGUGCACACAUACAGUUACACCCAUAUGCGCACUAUACUUGUUUCUUUUGCUAUAUACAUAUGCGUAUUGUUUAAUAGAAACAUUUAUUAUCUGAAAGGAAAAAAUGUUCCUGCUGAUGCACAAAAGCGUAACCAUAUACUGAUAUAUCUAAACACUUAUGAUACUUGCCCUGCAGAAUGACAUAAUUUAGAGCAAAUACUUAAAUAAAGUGUUAUGCUUGCAGAUAUCCAAACUGUCGAAACGCAAUCUCUGCAAUAUACAAUUGUUGUAAAUAUAUGUAUGCAAAACAUAUAAUGGUGCAAGUUGGGGAAAAAAUGCUUUACGAUUUAGAACAGAUACAUUAGAAGCAAUUGUGCUAAGCAUUUAACGAAUAAAAUCAUUUAUAUAUUAUUUA